UCAAGUGACUAAGUGCAUGUGGCGGAUGCCUUGGCGAUCACAGGCGAAGAAAGACGCGGCAGCCUGCGAAAAGCUGCGGGGAGCUGGCAAACGAGCUUUGAUCCGCAGAUAUCUGAAUGGGGGAACCCACACCGCAAGGUGUAUCCGUGACUGAAUACAUAGGUUACGGAGGCGAACGAGGAGAACUGAAACAUCUAAGUAUCCUCAGGAAAAGAAAUCAACCGAGAUUCCGGCAGUAGCGGCGAGCGAACCCGGAGGAGCCUAGCUUUUGAUAGUACGAACUUUAGCCGAAAGGUCCUGGAAAGGCCUGCUAUAGUGGGUGAUAGCCCCGUAGGCGAAAGAGUUCGUAUGGUACUAAGGAAGCGAGAAGUAGAGCGGGACACGUGGAAUCCUGUUCGAAGAUGGGGGGACCAUCCUCCAAGGCUAAAUACUCGUGAUCGACCGAUAGUGAACCAGUACCGUGAGGGAAAGGCGAAAAGAACCCCGGGAGGGGAGUGAAAUAGAACCUGAAACCGCAUGCAUACAAACAGUAGGAGCCUCGUCAGAGGUGACUGCGUACCUUUUGCAUAAUGGGUCAGCGACUUACAUUCUGUGGCGAGCUUAACCGAAUAGGGGAGGCGCAGCGAAAGCGAGUUCGAAAUGAGCGUCCAGUCGCAGGGUGUAGACCCGAAACCAGAUGAGCUAUCCAUGGCCAGGUUGAAGGUGUGGUAACACACACUGGAGGACCGAACCGACUAGUGUUGCAAAAUUAGCGGAUGAGCUGUGGAUAGGGGUGAAAGGCCAAACAAAUCUGGAGAUAGCUGGUUCUCCCCGAAAACUAUUGAGGUAGUGCCUCGUGUGUCGCUCCAGGGGGUAGAGCACUGUUUUGGCUAGGGGGACAUGGAGUCUUACCAAACCAAGGCAAACUCCGAAUACCUGGAAGCGUAAGCACGGGAGACAGAGCACCGGGUGCUAACGUCCGGACUCAAAAGGGAAACAACCCAGACCGCCGGCUAAGGUCCCCAAUAACAGCUAAGUGGAAAACGAAGUGGAAAGGCCGUGACAACCAGGAAGUUGGCUUAGAAGCAGCCAUCCUUCAAAGAAAGCGUAAUAGCUCACUGGUCGAGUCCUUCUGCGCGGAAGAUGUAACGGGGCUAAGCUGUUAACCGAAGCCGCGGAUGCACUGAUUAUUCAGUGCGUGGUAGGGGAGCGUUCUGUAAGUCUGCGAAGGCGGUUCGAGAGGACUGCUGGAGAUAUCAGAAGUGCGAAUGCUGACAUGAGUAACGUUAAAGCAGGUGAAAAGCCUGCUCGCCGUAAGCCCAAGGAUUCCUGCUCUACGUUCAUCGGAGCAGGGUGAGUCGGCUCCUAAGGUCAGGCCGAAAGGCGUAGCCGAUGGGAAUCAGGUUAAUAUUCCUGAACCUGCGUCAGAUGCGAUGGGGGGACGGAGCAUGAAAGAUCAUCCGGGUGUUGGAUGUCCCGGUUGACGAGCGUAGGAGGUCUGCAGGCAAAUCCGCAGACGCAUCUCCAAGGCGAAGUCACGUGCCGCCACGGCGGCGAAGUGAUCGGAAGUGCUUCCAAGAAAAGCCUCUAAGCACCAGUCUGACGCGGACCGUACCGCAAACCGACACUGGUGGGCGAGCUGAAUAUGCUCAGGCGCUUGAGAGAACUCGGGAGAAGGAACUCGGCAAAUUGACACCGUAACUUCGGAAGAAGGUGUGCCGUAGUACCGUGAGAGGAGAGACACCUUGAGCGGGAAUCGGUCUCAGAGAAUAGGUGGCUGCGACUGUUUAUUAAAAACACAGCACUCUGCAAAGUCGAAAGACGACGUAUAGGGUGUGAUGCCUGCCCGGUGCUGGAAGAUUAAUUGAUGGGGUGAGAGCCCUUGAUCGAAGUCCCAGUAAACGGCGGCCGUAACUAUAACGGUCCUAAGGUAGCGAAAUUCCUUGUCGGGUAAGUUCCGACCUGCACGA
rnacentral:rRNA from 1 species